rnacentral:rRNA from 1 species
CUACGGGAGGCACCAGUGAGGAAUAUUGCACAAUGGAGGAAACUCUGAUGCAGCAACGCCGCGCGGAGGAUGACGCAUUUCGGUGUGUAAACUCCUUUUAUAUGUCAAGAAAAUGACGGUAGCAUAUGAAUAAGCACCGGCUAACUCCGUGCCAGCAGCCGCGGUAAUACGGAGGGUGCAAGCGUUACUCGGAAUCACUGGGCGUAAAGGACGCGUAGGCGGGAUAUCAAGUCAGGUGUGAAAUCCUACAGCUUAACUGUAGAACUGCACUUGAAACUGGUAACCUAGAGUAUGGGAGGGGGAGAUGGAAUUAGUGGUGUAGGGGUAAAAUCCGUAGAUAUCACUAGGAAUACCUAAAGCGAAGGCGAUCUCCUGGAACAUAACUGACGCUAAGGCGUGAAAGCGUGGGGGGCAAACAGGAUUAGAUACCCUCGUAGUC